AUCACAGGGUAGAAGACACACAGAGAGUUUCUGUGACCUUAUCCCCUGUGUGAUCUUGUCCAGUGUGACGUAAUCUUGGACCACUCCUUGCCGUGCCACUGGGGACCGCCAUUAUCUGUAGGCAUCAUGAGAGAAAUAGGCUUGAAGGGACUCAGGAAGAUUUGGCAGCAAGACAGUGGAGUUGGCAAUAGAAGAAGCAAGAAGACAUGGUGGAGCAACACUACCAGCAUCCCCAGUGCUGCUGCUCUAAUGCAGUAUGUUUCUUAAUGAUGUCAGAAGCCUCAAGCUUCCU